rnacentral:lncRNA from 1 species
ACCUCUAUAGAAAAAUCCAUGCGAAGACUGGCUUAGAUCAGGGGCUCGGAGAUGCUAGUCUGCGAACAACUUCGACAACUGAUCUCUUCCUUCUUCUACGAGCAUCUUGGAUACUCCAAAGUAAUAGAAGAUCUGUAAGAGAAAGAGAGAAGGAGGAAAAGAGGCUCUAAAAAUAAAAAUUUCAUAAGAGAAUUGAUUAUGAGAUGUCCAAGAGAGGGGUCCCUUUUUUAUAGACAAAGAAUUUGGACUUUCCAAGAAAGGGUGCCAUGAAUCAAUGCCAAAACCUCCUUUUGGCAUUCUAAAAAAUUCUAAAAAAAUUAUUAUGAUCUAAAAAAGGAAUUUUAAGUCUCACAUGCUAAAGGAUUCU